rnacentral:lncRNA from 1 species
GAGAAACCAUCUGGGAAAACUCUUAGACUAAUUUGAAUUGAACCAAGCUGAGACCUUAAGCAUUUCGUUCCAAUGAGAUCCAAGCUGAACAAUGACACAAUCUGAAGGCUGAUGUUCAGUUGUGGAGAUACCCAUGUGUCCUCGCCUAACAGCUGUCACAGUAAGUCCAUGCUGCUCCUGAAAGCUAGAUAAUUAACUGUCAUUUGCUUUGAAGUCCAUGGAAAGCUGUUUCCUACUGUGGUACAUUUACAACUUCUACAACUGCCACGUCAAAUG